UAAGGCACGCAGUGAAUGCCAA
rnacentral:miRNA from 1 species